rnacentral:rRNA from 1 species
UACGUAGGGUGCGAGCGUUGUCCGGAUUUAUUGGCGUAAAGAGCUUGUAGGCGGCUCGUCGCGUCGGGUGUGAAACUUGCGGCUUAACCGCAAGCCUGCACCCGAUACGGGCGGGCUAGAGUUCGGCAGGGGAGACUGGAAUUCCUGGUGUAGCGGUGGAAUGCGCAGAUAUCAGGAGGAACACCGGUGGCGAAGGCGGGUCUCUGGGCCGAUACUGACGCUGAGAAGCGAAAGCGUGGGGAGCGAACAGG